UCAUACUACCCGGGGAGCCAGCGGUGCCCUGAACCUGCAAUCCGCUCCAGCAGGGGGGAAGGCCAUUCUGAGGGCAGUAUUUGUGUCGCUGCGUGUACGGGAAACCGUUGAGAAACGGGUCCUGCGCAAUUCGCAUCUGUGAACCAUGUCAGGUGGGGAACCAAGCAGCAUUAAGCAGACCCGCGGAUGUGUUGCAGGUUCGCCUGUUUUGAGGUGGAACGGACAUUCCCGGACGGAAGUGCUGUUCGAAAUUGGAUGUAUGG
rnacentral:SRP_RNA from 1 species